ACGGUACCUGCAGAAGAAGCACCGGCUAACUACGUGCCAGCAGCCGCGGUAAUACGUAGGGUGCGAGCGUUAUCCGGAAUUAUGGGCGUAAAGAGCUCGUAGGCGGUUUGUCGCGUCUGUCGUGAAAGUCCGGGGCUUAACCCCGGAUCUGGCGGUGGGUACGGGCAGACUGAAAGUGCGAAGUAGGGGAGACUGGAAUUCCGUGGUGUAGCGGUGGAAUGCGCNGAAACNUCGAGGAGGAACACCGGAUGGGCGAAGGCUACGGG
rnacentral:rRNA from 1 species